rnacentral:rRNA from 1 species
ACGAACGCUGGCGGCGUGCUUAACACAUGCAAGUCGAACGGAAAGGCCCUGCUUUUGUGGGGUGCUCGAGUGGCGAACGGGUGAGUAACACGUGAGUAACCUGCCCUUGACUUUGGGAUAACUUCAGGAAACUGGGGCUAAUACCGGAUAGGAGCUCCUGCUGCAUGGUGGGGGUUGGAAAGUUUCGGCGGUUGGGGAUGGACUCGCGGCUUAUCAGCUUGUUGGUGGGGUAGUGGCUUACCAAGGCUUUGACGGGUAGCCGGCCUGAGAGGGUGACCGGCCACAUUGGGACUGAGAUACAGCCUAGACUCCUACGGGAGGCAGCAGUGGGGAAUAUUGCACAAUGGGCGGAAGCCUGAUGCAGCAACGCCGCGUGCGGGAUGACGGCCUUCGGGUUGUAAACCGCUUUCGCCUGUGACGAAGCGUGAGUGACGGUAAUGGGUAAAGAAGCACCGGCUAACUACGUG